GAUGAACGCUGGCGGCGUGCCUAAUACAUGCAAGUCGAGCGAACAGAUGAGGAGCUUGCUCCUCUGACGUUAGCGGCGGACGGGUGAGUAACACGUGGAUAACCUACCUAUAAGACUGGGAUAACUUCGGGAAACCGGAGCUAAUACCGGAUAAUAUAUUGAACCGCAUGGUUCAAUAGUGAAAGACGGUUUUGCUGUCACUUAUAGAUGGAUCCCCGCCGCAUUAGCUAGUUGGUAAGGUAACGGCUUACCAAGGCAACGAUGCGUAGCCGACCUGAGAGGGUGAUCGGCCAAACUGGAACUGGAACAUGGGCCAGACUCCUAAGGGAGGCAGCAGUAGGGAAUCUUCCGCGAUGGGCGAAAGCCUGACGGAGGAAUGCCGGGUGCGUGAUGAAGGUCUUCGGAUCGUAAAACUCUGUUAUUAGGGAAGAACAAAUGUGUAAGUAACUAUGCACGUCUUGACGGUACCUAAUCAGAAAGCCACGGCUAACUACGUG
rnacentral:rRNA from 1 species